GACGGGGGAUGCAAGCGUUAUCCGGAAUCACUGGGCGUAAAGCGUCUGUAGGUGGUGAUGCCAGUCACUGGUGCAAAACUCUGGCUCAACCGGAGGAAAGCCAGUGAAACUGCAUGACUAGAGUGUGUGAGAGGCAGAAGGAAUUCCUUGAGUAGCGGUGAAAUGCGUAGAUACAGGGAAGAACACCGGAGGCGAAAGCGUUCUACUGGAACACAACUGACACUGAGAGACGAAAGCUAGGGGAGCGAAUGGG
rnacentral:rRNA from 1 species